rnacentral:rRNA from 1 species
UGAAUACGAGAUGCUACGGCGUCGAAGCAGUGUAUGUCAGACUUCCAAGAAAAGCUCGCAAUGUCAUAAAUAAAGAAUGCCUGUACCAUAACCGACACAGGUGGGUAGGUAGAGUAUACUAAGGGGCGCGAGAUAACUCUCUCUAAGGAACUCGGCAAAAUAACUCCGUAACUUCGGGAGAAGGAGUGCCUUCUUGAAGAAGGUUGCAAUAACAAGAUCCAAGCAACUGUUUAUCAAAAACACAGGUCUCCGCUAAGUCGAAAGACGAUGUAUGGGGGCUGACGCCUGCCCAGUGCCAGAAGGUUAAAGAAGCUGGUUAGCAAUAGCGAAGCUGGUGACUGAAGCCCUGGUGAACGGCGGCCGUAACAAUAACGGUCCUAAGGUAGCGAAAUUCCUUGUCGGGUAAGUUCCGACCCGCACGAAAGGCGUAAUGAUUUGGAUACUGUCUCGGAGAGGGACUCGGUGAGAUAGACCUGUCUGUGAAGAUGCGGACUACCUGCACCAGGACAGAAAGACCCUAUGAAGCUUUACUGUAACUUGAAAUUGAAAUUGGACUUUAUUUGCGCAGUAUAGGUGGAAGGCGUUGAGAUUACUCUUGCGGGAUUAGUGGAGCCAUCAGUGAGAUACCACUCCUAUAAUGUUAGAUUUCUAACUUUGGAUCAUAAUCUGGUCAAAGAACAGUUUCAGGCGGGCAGUUUGACUGGGGCGGUCGCCUCCCAAAUGGUAACGGAGGCGUACAAAGGUUUCCUCUGAACGGGUAGAAAUCGUAUCUAGAGUGUAAAGGCAUAAGGAAGCUUGACUGUGAGACCUACAAGUCGAGCAGGGACGAAAGUCGGUCUUAGUGAUCUGACGGUGCUGAGUGGAAAGGCCGUCACUCAACGGAUAAAAGUUACUCUAAGGAUAACAGGCUGAUCUCCCCCAAGAGUUCACAUCGACGGGGAGGUUUGGCACCUCGAUGUCGGCUCAUCGCAUCCUGGGGCGGUAGUACGUCCCAAGGGUUGGGCUGUUCGCCCAUGAAAGCGGUACGCGAGCUGGGUUCAGAACGUCGUGAGACAGUUCGGUCCAUAUCCGGUGUAGGCGUUAGAAUAUUGAGAGGAGCCUUCUUUAGUACGAGAGGACCGAGAAGGACAUACCUCUGGUGUACCAGUUAUCGUGCCAACGGUAAACGCUGGGUAGCUAUGUAUGGAGAGGAUAACCGCUGAAAGCAUCUAAGUGGGAAGCCCACCUCAAGAUGAGUAUUCUCAC